GACGAACGCUGGCGGCGUGCUUAACACAUGCAAGUCGAACGGAAAGGCCCUGCUUUUGUGGGGUGCUCGAGUGGCGAACGGGUGAGUAACACGUGAGUAACCUGCCCUUGACUUUGGGAUAACUUCAGGAAACUGGGGCUAAUACCGGAUAGGAGCUCCUGCUGCAUGGUGGGGGUUGGAAAGUUUCGGCGGUUGGGGAUGGACUCGCGGCUUAUCAGCUUGUUGGUGGGGUAGUGGCUUACCAAGGCUUUGACGGGUAGCCGGCCUGAGAGGGUGACCGGACAAAUUGGGACUGAUGUACCGCCAAGAAUCCCUAGGGAGGCAGCAGGGGGGAAAUGUGCAAAAUGGGCCGAAGCCUGAUGGAGCAAAGCCGCGUGGGGGGUGACGGCCUUCGGGGUGUAAAACCGUUUCGGCCGGGAACAAACGUGAGGGAAGGGAAUGGGUAAAGAAGCACCGGCUAACUACGUG
rnacentral:rRNA from 1 species